CCUACGGGAGGCAGCAGUGAGGAAUAUUGGUCAAUGGACGAGAGUCUGAACCAGCCAAGUAGCGUGAAGGAUGACUGCCCUAUGGGUUGUAAACUUCUUUUAUAUGGGAAUAAAACGUUCCACGUGUGGGAUUUUGUAUGUACCAUAUGAAUAAGGAUCGGCUAACUCCGUGCCAGCAGCCGCGGUAAUACGGAGGAUCCGAGCGUUAUCCGGAUUUAUUGGGUUUAAAGGGAGCGUAGGUGGAUUGUUAAGUCAGUUGUGAAAGUUUGCGGCUCAACCGUAAAAUUGCAGUUGAAACUGGCAGUCUUGAGGACAGUAUAGGUGGGCGGAAUUCGUGGUGUAGCGGUGAAAUGCUGAGAUAUCACGAAGAACUCCGAUUGCGAAGGCAGUUCACUGGACUGCAACUGACACUGAGGCUCGAAAGUGUGGGUAUCAAACAGGAUUAGAUACCCCAGUAGUC
rnacentral:rRNA from 1 species